rnacentral:rRNA from 1 species
AUUGAACGCUGGCGGCAGGCCUAACACAUGCAAGUCGAGCGGAUGAAGGGAGCUUGCUCCUGGAUUCAGCGGCGGACGGGUGAGUAAUGCCUAGGAAUCUGCCUGGUAGUGGGGGAUAACGUCCGGACACGGGCGCUAAUACCGCAUACGUCCUGAGGGAGAAAGUGGGGGAUCUUCGGACCUCACGCUAUCAGAUGAUCCUAGGUCGGAUUAGCUAGUUGGUGGGGUAAAGGCCUACCAAGGCGACGAUCCGUAACUGGUCUGAGAGGAUGAUCAGUCACACUGGAACUGAGACACGGUCCAGACUCCUACGGGAGGCAGCAGUGGGGAAUAUUGGACAAUGGGCGAAAGCCUGAUCCAGCCAUGCCGCGUGUGUGAAGAAGGUCUUCGGAUUGUAAAGCACUUUAAGUGGGGAGGAAGGGCAGUAAGUUAAUACCUUGCUGUUUUGACGUUACCAACAGAAUAAGCACCGGCUAACUUCGUG